rnacentral:rRNA from 1 species
CCUACGGGAGGCAGCAGUGGGGAAUAUUGCGCAAUGGGGGAAACCCUGACGCAGCAACGCCGCGUGAGUGAGGAAGGACUUCGGUCUGUAAAGCUCUGUUAAUGUGGAAAAAUGGUAGUUGGUCUAAUAGGCCGAUUAUUUGAUGGUACACAUAGAGGAAGCACCGGCUAACUUCGUGCCAGCAGCCGCGGUAAUACGAAGGGUGCAAGCGUUGUUCGGAUUUAUUGGGCGUAAAGCGCGCGUAGGCGGACCUGCAAGUCAGAUGUGAAAUCUCGGGGCUCAACCUCGAAACUGCGUCUGAAACUACAGGUCUAGAAUCUUGGAGGGGGAAGGGGAAUUUCUCAUGUAGGGGUAAAAUCCGUAGAUAUGAGAAGGAACACCAGAGGCGAAGGCGCCUUCCUGGACAAGUAUUGACGCUGAGGCGCGAAAGCGUGGGGAUCAAACAGGAUUAGAUACCCUGGUAGUCCACGCUGUAAACGAUGAAUACUAGAUAUUGCAGGAUUUGACCCCAGCAGUGUCGUAGCUAACGCGUUAAAGUAUUCCGCCUGGGAAGUAACGGUCGCAAAGACUAAAACUUAAAGAUAGUUAGCGUUGNGAGAGCGACGACGACGACGACGGAGGAGGAG